rnacentral:rRNA from 1 species
GAUGUAUGAGUUAGUGGCGGACGGGUGAGUAACGCGUGGAGAACCUGCCGUAUACUGGGGGAUAACACUUAGAAAUAGGUGCUAAUACCGCAUAAGCGCACAGCUUCGCAUGAAGCAGUGUGAAAAACUCCGGUGGUAUACGAUGGAUCCGCGUCUGAUUAGCUAGUUGGCGGGGUAAAGGCCCACCAAGGCGACGAUCAGUAGCCGGCCUGAGAGGGUGAACGGCCACAUUGGGACUGAGACACGGCCCAAACUCCUACGGGAGGCAGCAGUGGGGAAUAUUGCACAAUGGGGGAAACCCUGAUGCAGCGACGCCGCGUGAGUGAAGAAGUAUUUCGGUACGUAAAGCUCUAUCAGCAGGGAAGAAAAUGACGGUACCUGACUAAGAAGCCCCGGCUAACUACGUGCCAGCAGCCGCGGUAAUACGUAGGGGGCAAGCGUUAUCCGGAUUUACUGGGUGUAAAGGGAGCGUAGACGGCAGCGCAAGUCUGGAGUGAAAUCCCAUGGCUUAACCAUGGAACUGCUUUGGAAACUGUGCAGCUAGAGUGCAGGAGAGGUAAGCGGAAUUCCUAGUGUAGCGGUGAAAUGCGUAGAUAUUAGGAGGAACACCAGUGGCGAAGGCGGCUUACUGGACUGUAACUGACGUUGAGGCUCGAAAGCGUGGGGAGCAAACAGGAUUAGAUACCCUGGUAGUCCACGCUGUAAACGAUGAUUACUAGGUGUUGGGGGACCAAGGUCCUUCGGUGCCGUCGCAAACGCAUUAAGUAAUCCACCUGGGGAGUACGUUCGCAAGAAUGAAACUCAAAGGAAUUGACGGGGACC